GAUGAAGAACGUAGCGAAAUGCGAUAAGUAGUGUGAAUUGCAGAAUUCAGUGAAUCAUCGAAUCUUUGAACGCACAUUGCGCCCCUUGGUAUUCCAUGGGGCAUGCCUGUUCGAGCGUCAUUUGUACCUUCAAGCUCUGCUUGGUGUUGGGUGUUUGUCUCGCCUCUGCGUGUAGACUCGCCUCAAAACAAUUGGCAGCCGGCGUAUUGAUUUCGGAGCGCAGUACAUCUCGCGCUUUGCACUCAUAACGACGACGUCCAAAAGUACAUUUUUACACUCUUGACCUCGGAUCAAGUAGGGAUACCCGCUGAACUUAAGCAUAUCAAUAAGCGGAGGA
rnacentral:misc_RNA from 1 species